UGGGGAAUAUUGCACAAUGGGCGCAAGCCUGAUGCAGCAACGCCGCGUGAACGAUGAAGGUCUUCGGAUCGUAAAGUUCUGUUGCAGGGGAAGAUAAUGACGGUACUCUGUGAGGAAGCCCCGGCUAACUACGUGCCAGCAGCCGCGGUAAUACGUAGGGGGCUAGCGUUAUCCGGAUUUACUGGGCGUAAAGGGUGCGUAGGUGGUCUUUCAAGUCGGUGGUUAAAGGCUACGGCUCAACCGUAGUUAGCCUCCGAAACUGGAAGACUUGAGUGCAGGAGAGGGAAGUGGAAUUCCCAGUGUAGCGGUGAAAUGCGUAGAUAUUGGGAGGAACACCAGUGGCGAAGGCGGCUUUCUGGACUGCCACUGACGCUGAGGCACGAAAGCGUGGGUAGCAAACAGG
rnacentral:rRNA from 1 species